rnacentral:tmRNA from 1 species
GGGGCUGAUUCUGGAUUCGACGGGAUUUGCGAAACCCAAGGUGCAUGCCGAGGGGCGGUUGGCCUCGUAAAAAGCCGCAAAAAAAUAGUCGCAAACGACGAAACCUACGCUUUAGCAGCUUAAUAACCUGCUUAGAGCCCUCUCUCCCUAGCCUCCGCUCUUAGGACGGGGAUCAAGAGAGGUCAAACCCAAAAGAGAUCGCGCGGAUGCCCUGCCUGGGGUUGAAGCGUUAAAACGAAUCAGGCUAGUCUGGUAGUGGCGUGUCCGUCCGCAGGUGCCAGGCGAAUGUAAAGACUGACUAAGCAUGUAGUACCGAGGAUGUAGGAAU